rnacentral:snRNA from 1 species
UCCAACUCCUAUCUUUGAAU